AUUGAACGCUGGCGGCAGGCCUAACACAUGCAAGUCGAGCGGAGCGGCUGACGGGUGAGUAAUGCCUAGGAAUCUGCCUGGUAGUGGGGGAUAAAGUCCGGAAACGGGCGCUAAUACCGCAUACUAUCAGAUGAGCCUCGUUGGGAUUAGCUAGUGGGUGGGGUAAUGGCCUACCAAGGCGACGAUCCGUAACUGGUCUGAGAGGAUGAUCAGUCAAACGGGAACUGAUACACGGUCCAGACUCUUAGGGGAGGCAGAAGUGGGGAAUAUUGCAAAAUGGGCGAAAGCCUGAUGCAGCCAUGCCGCGUGUAUGAAGAAGGCCUUCGGGUUGUAAAGUACUUUCAGCGGGGAGGCGUUACCCGCAGAAGAAGCACCGGCUAACUCCGUGCCAGCAGCCGCGGUAAUAC
rnacentral:rRNA from 1 species